CAGUCGCGUUCUCUGGGAUUCAGCCUUGCUUCUUGCUUGGUGCAUUUCCUAGUCUACGGGCCAGCAUGAAUCUUGAGCGGUGGAAAAGGGUUUGGGGAAUGUGGCACCUCCGGGUGUGUUAUAGCCCCUUGCUGUAUACACUGGUUGGGAUUGAGGACUGCAGCACGUCUUAUGGUCGGGGUUCUCCACGCCACGUGCUUAGGAUGCUGGCGUAAUGGCUUAAACGCCCGUCUUGAAACACGGACCAAGGAGU
rnacentral:rRNA from 1 species